rnacentral:rRNA from 1 species
GUCUAUGGCCAUACCACCCUGAACGCGUCUGAUCUCGUCUGAUCUCGGAAGCUAAGCAGGGUUGGGCCUGGUUAGUACUUGGAUGGGAAACAGCAAAUGUCUUAAGAUUUUUAUUGUGAAUUUUGUGUCACGUGAGCA